rnacentral:lncRNA from 1 species
GGUAAUAUCCGACGCAUCAGAGGCAUAGUAUGACUUGUCUCGAUUAUGAUGUCGUCUACAAACAUCCAACGGAGGGGAACCCGUCCCAGUUUCCAUCUUGAUGGUAAGUUCUCUAAUCUUCUAUCUCACGGGAUGUGAUGUGGUUGCCUUCAUUUUGGCUUUUGACAAAGGGUUGAAAUUAGCUUAUGUGCUUCCGACAAUUAAAAUUCCAGUGAUAUUUCCAGCAAUAUAUAAUUUCUAAAUCAUUUCCAGCAAUAUGUGAGUUGUUUGCUUGCUCAACCUUACGCUGGGAUCAUGUCUACAGACUACAAAUAGAGGGAAGUUGGUCUGUGCCUUACUAGAGACAGAUGAACCAAUAAAAUGAUUGGAAAGGUUCUUCCCAAGGAAAAGGUAAGCUGAAUCUUGUACAGUUUACUUCAUAAUAUAUUUUGGUCAGUAUGUUGUUUAUUUUCUGAAAUUGAUACUCCAUUGUGGAUUACCUAUGAUGAAAAUUACAUUCUCUGCGGGCGCUGAUUCUGAUAUAUUACUAUGGGCAAAGGAAGUUCAAAAUUAAUCUCAAUCAAACAUGUGCAAAGGAAAAUCCAAAAUAUGUUAUGUCAGUAAAAGAUUCUUAAACCAGUGCGUUGCCACGGGCUAACAAAUCCAAAAUAUGUUAUGUCAGUAAAAGAUUCUCAUUUGAAUGAUGUUUUGUGUGUCCUCGGAUCACCAGGACGCCGCCGUCGCUUCGGAUCCCCACACGCCGCCAGCAUGGGCCGUGACAACUGAUGAGCACGCUCCACCCCCAUUCCUGCCAC